rnacentral:rRNA from 1 species
UAGAGUUUGAUCCUGGCUCAAGAGGACCUUUGGCGGCGCGCCUAACACAUGCAAGUCGAACGAGCGAGAGAGAGCUUGCUUUCUCGAGCGAGUGGCGAACGGGUGAGUAACGCGUGAGGAACCUGCCUCAAAGAGGGGGACAACAGUUGGAAACGACUGCUAAUACCGCAUAAGCCCACGGUGCCGCAUGGCACAGAGGGAAAAGGAGCAAUCCGCUUUGAGAUGGCCUCGCGUCCGAUUAGCUAGUUGGUGAGGUAACGGCCCACCAAGGCGACGAUCGGUAGCCGGACUGAGAGGUUGAACGGCCACAUUGGGACUGAGACACGGCCCAGACUCCUACGGGAGGCAGCAGUGGGGAAUAUUGCACAAUGGGGGAAACCCUGAUGCAGCGACGCCGCGUGGAGGAAGAAGGUCUUCGGAUUGUAAACUCCUGUUGUUGGGGAAGAUAAUGACGGUACCCAACAAGGAAGUGACGGCUAACUACGUGCCAGCAGCCGCGGUAAAACGUAGGUCACGAGCGUUGUCCGGAAUUACUGGGUGUAAAGGGAGCGCAGGCGGGAAGACAAGUUGGAAGUGAAAUCUAUGGGCUCAACCCAUAAACUGCUUUCAAAACUGUUUUUCUUGAGUAGUGCAGAGGUAGGCGGAAUUCCCGGUGUAGCGGUGGAAUGCGUAGAUAUCGGGAGGAACACCAGUGGCGAAGGCGGCCUACUGGGCACCAACUGACGCUGAGGCUCGAAAGUGUGGGUAGCAAACAGGAUUAGAUACCCUGGUAGUCCACACCGUAAACGAUGAUUACUAGGUGUUGGAGGAUUGACCCCUUCAGUGCCGCAGUUAACACAAUAAGUAAUCCACCUGGGGAGUACGACCGCAAGGUUGAAACUCAAAGGAAUUGACGGGGGCCCGCACAAGCAGUGGAGUAUGUGGUUUAAUUCGACGCAACGCGAAGAACCUUACCAAGUCUUGACAUCCCUUGACAGGCAUAGAAAUAUGUUUUCUCUUCGGAGCAAGGAGACAGGUGGUGCAUGGUUGUCGUCAGCUCGUGUCGUGAGAUGUUGGGUUAAGUCCCGCAACGAGCGCAACCCUUAUGGUCAGUUACUACGUAAGAGGACUCUGGCCAGACUGCCGUUGACAAAACGGAGGAAGGUGGGGAUGACGUCAAAUCAUCAUGCCCUUUAUGACUUGGGCUACACACGUACUACAAUGGCGUUAAACAAAGAGAAGCAAGACCGCGAGGUGGAGCAAAACUCAGAAACAACGUCCCAGUUCGGACUGCAGGCUGCAACUCGCCUGCACGAAGUCGGAAUUGCUAGUAAUCGUGGAUCAGCAUGCCACGGUGAAUACGUUCCCGGGCCUUGCACA